UACAGAGGGGGCGAGCGUUGUUCGGAAUUACUGGGCGUAAAGGGCGCGUAGGCGGCCUUCUAAGUCGAACGUGAAAUCCCCGGGCUCAACCCGGGAACUGCGUCCGAUACUGGGAGGCUUGAAUCCGGGAGAGGGAUGUGGAAUUCCAGGUGUAGCGGUGAAAUGCGUAGAGAUCGGGAGGAACACCGGUGGCGAAGGCGGGUCUCUGGGCAUUCCCUGACGCUGAGGCGCGAAAGCGUGGGGAGCAAACGGG
rnacentral:rRNA from 1 species